AAGAAAAUAUAAAAGGAAUAAACAAGAAAUCAACCAUUAAUAGCCAAAAAUAAAAUAAAAUAAACGAAAACUGUUGAUUGAUUUUCAAUAAAUAUUGCGGCAUUUCUAUGUAGCCAAAUGUUGACGUCUGUAUCCUUAAAAACAAAAUAAAAAAUAAUGAAUCAUUUUGAAAUGUAGCCGUGUUCGCCAGUUACCAACAUAUCCUAUCACUCUUCUCUUCCGGUGACCCAAAACCCUAACCCUAAUCUCCAAAUGGAAUCGGCUAACGAUGAUGACCAUCGAGCUAACGGCUCUGACGACAACCGUUUAGCGAAGAAACCCAAGAUGUCCAGCUCAUUGUUUAUUACGGAUUCUGAAGUAAUUGAAGAGUUCGGCCAUCACCAGCCAGGAAUAGCUCGUAUUAAUAAUGGUAGUUUUGGUAGCUGUCCGGCGUCAAUCAUCGCAGCUCAGAAGCUCUGGCAGCUCCGUUUCUUACAACAACCCGAUGACUUCUUUUAUAAUAAUUUACAGAAGAGGAUUCUUCAUUCGCGGGGGAUUAUUAAGGAUGUGAUUAAUGCGGAGCAUGUUGAGGAGGUGUCUCUUGUGGAUAACGCGACUACUGCGGCCGCUAUUGUUCUUCAGCAUAUUGGUUGGGCGUUUGCUGAGGGGCGGUUUCAGAAAGGAGAUGCUGUUGUUAUGCUUCAUUGUGCGUUUCAGGCGGUUAAGAAGUCGAUUGAGGCGUAUGUUACUCGUGCUGGUGGUUCUGUGAUUGUGGUGCAUUUGCCGUUUCCGCUAAGUUCGGAGGAGGAGAUUGUUGCUGAGUUUCGUAAAGCAUUGGCGAAGGGGAAAGAGAAUGGGAAGAAGGUUCGGUUGGCUAUUAUUGAUCAUAUUACGUCAAUGCCGUGUGUUGUUAUUCCUGUGCGUGAUUUGGUUAAGAUUUGUAGGGAAGAAGGUGUGGAACGGGUGUUUGUUGAUGCUGCUCAUGCUAUUGGGAAUGUUCAUGUCGAUGUUAGAGAAAUUGGAGCUGAUUUUUAUGUAAGCAACUUGCAUAAGUGGUUCUUCUGUCCUCCAUCGGCUGCCUUUUUGUACUGUCGGAAAUCGCCUGUAUCCCCUGAUCUACACCAUCCUGUGGUGUCUCAUGAAUAUGGUAAUGGAUUAGCCAUUGAAAGUGCGUGGAUAGGGACGCGAGAUUACAGCUCUCAACUAGUUAUACCUGAGGUGUUAGAAUUUAUAAAUAGGUUUGAGGGUGGGAUUGAGGGAAUUAGGACAAGGAAUCAUAAUGCGGUGAUUGAAAUGGGACAAAUGUUGGCCAAUGCUUGGGGAACAGCGCUUGGCUGCCCUCCUGACAUGUCUCCAAGUAUGGCAAUGGUUGGUUUGCCUGCUAACCUUAGGAUUCUCAGUGAUAAGGAUGCUUUAAAUUUGAGAACUCGUUUGCGUGACCAUUUUGGAGUGGAAGUCCCAAUUCACUACCAGGAGAUAAAAGAAUUACAGGAUGGUGGUGAUGCCUAUGUGACAGGAUAUGCUCGGAUUUCUCAUCAGGUUUACAAUAAGGUUGAUGACUAUAUAAAGUUGAAGGAUGCAAUUCUACAGCUUGUGCGAGAUGGAGUUACUUGUAAGAUGCUUGGCUCAGAAUGAGAGGCCCAACUCAAUAGUGCGCCCUUCCCGGUUUUUAAAUGAUCCAUUGCAUUGUAUCCAGAACUGUCUUAAAAGCUCCCAGCACAAGAGUGAUGCUAUCUAGAAAUGCAGUAAGAGAUGAUCCAUGUCCUCUCGCAAGUGCUCAUGCAGGAACAAGGAAUUCUGCUGAGAGUUUCUUGAUAGGUUGUUUCACCAAUUUGUAUGGAGUUUUGUACUCUGAAAAACAACUUGUAGAAGUUUUCUUGUUAUCAAGAAUAAUCCUUGUAGAAGAAGCAUUGUAAGCGGCUAAUAAAUACCUAUUAUUGUUCUAA